rnacentral:rRNA from 1 species
GAUGAACGCUGGCGGCGUGCUUAACACAUGCAAGUCGAACGAAGCAUUUAGAACAGAUUACUUCGGUUUGAAGUUCUUUAUGACUGAGUGGCGGACGGGUGAGUAACGCGUAGGUAACCUGCCUUGUACUGGGGGAUAGCAGCUGGAAACGGCUGGUAAUACCGCAUAAGCGCACAAUGUUGCAUGACAUGGUGUGAAAAACUCCGGUGGUAUAAGAUGGACCCGCGUCUGAUUAGCUAGUUGGUGAGAUAACAGCCCACCAAGGCGACGAUCAGUAGCUGACCUGAGAGGGUGACCGGCCACAUUGGGACUGAGACACGGCCCAGACUCCUACGGGAGGCAGCAGUGGAGAAUAUUGCACAAUGGAGGAAACUCUGAUGCAGCGACGCCGCGUGAGUGAAGAAGUAAUUCGUUAUGUAAAGCUCUAUCAGCAGGGAAGAUAGUGACGGUACCUGACUAAGAAGCUCCGGCUAAAUACGUGCCAGCCGCCGCGGUAA